rnacentral:rRNA from 1 species
GAUGAGCGCUGGCGGCGUGCCUAAUACAUGCAAGUCGAGCGAACGGACGAGAAGUUUGCUUCUCUGAUGUUAGCGGCGGACGGGUGAUUAACACGUGGAUAACCUACCUAUAAGACACUGAUCACUUCGGGACACCCGAGCUAAUACCGGAUAAUAUUUUGAACAGCAUGCUUCCCACGUGAAAGACGGUCUUGCUGUCACUUAUAGAUUGCUCAGCGCUGCAUCAGCUAGUUGGUAAGGUAACGGCUUACCAAGGCAACGAUGCAUAGCCGACCCGAGAGGUUGGUCGGACACACUGGAACUGAGGCACGGCCCAGACUCUUACAGGAAGCAGCAGUAGAGAAUCUUCCGCAAGGGACGAGAGCCUGACGGUGCAAAGCCGCGUGAGUGAUGAAGUACCUCGGAUCGUAAAGCGCUGUUAUUAGUGAAGAACAUAUGUGUAAGUAACUGUGCACAUCUUGACGGUACCUAAACAGGAAGCCACGGCUAACUACGUG